AGCUCUGCUUGAGGUCUGCUCCUGGGUGGGCUUUUGUGUGCCCUGUUCCUCAGGAAGGGGUAAGCAGUGCUGGGGUUAUUUGCUAGAUGGAGUGCGUUUGUGUUUCUUGGCUUCCUGAAAGCUGUGUCUGUCUUUUUCACUGCCGGCUGGAGAGACUCGGGGGAGAAAGCGUUGUGCUUGAUGGCACGGUUUCCUUGGGCAAAGGAUGCUUUGGCAGCAGAGGUUUGCUGUCAGGAGGCAUGAAAGCACUGAAGCCAAUGCUGCCGUGCCCUGGGCCCAGAGACAUCAUCUCCCAGCACGUCCCUGGCGGUGGAUGUGUGCAAGCUCUGUGUCUGCCGGUGGUUGCUCCAAAGGCUUUGUGGUCAGCUGUGCGUGGCUGUUUUGCUCUUGAGGGCGUGGGAACAGAGGGCAACACGCUGAUGGGAGUGAUGGUGUCCUGCUCAGCAAUGGAUGUGCUGGGUGGCAGAAGAGGAUUCUUGGCCGAGCGUGGAAAAUCUCUCUGCUCCUUCCUGAAGGUGAGUUUUUCCAAGUGAGACGCGCACAGCUGGAUUGCAGGGUGCCCUGGAGGAGGUGACCCCCACUUGACAUCGGUUGGGUAUUUUAAAGCAGCUGAGAUUAAGGAGACAUGACAAAGUUGUGCAAAUAUUCCUGGACGUUCCUAGUUCUUGAAUUGCCUAAAGGAACACAAGCAAUGCAGAGAAAGAAAGAACGAAAGAAAAAGAACAACAACACCUGUAUGUCCUGCACAGAACCCAGCUUUAAUAGAGACGAAAAUUAUUGACGUUCCUUUUUCUUCUUCUCUCAGUGACGGAAUUUGCUCUCACCUUCUCUCUCUGCUCUCCUGCUCUCUGCACACGCCUCCCCACUUCUUACAUCUUCAGUUCUUCUGUUGAACUCCCAUCUUCUUCAUCUCUCUCUCUUUUUUUUUUUUUUUUUUUUUUUUUUUUUACCUUUGGAAACCUUUCCUUGAUGCCCCCUCCCUCCCUUCUCUCUUCUAUCUUUUCUAACCUCUCCUGUCUGCUGUCUUCCUCUCCUCUACUAGAUUUUUUUCCCAUACUCUUCUCUCCCUUUUCUCAGUUAUUUCCCCUCCUUAUUCACUCCUCAUCGUUCUGCGUCUAAACUCCUCUGUUGCUCUUCUUAUUCUGUCUCCUCAAUGCUCUUUGUUCUGCAUCUGCACUUCUCUUCUACUACUCUUUCUUCUCUGUAUCCUCUCUCCUCUUUCUUCUGCCUCUGCACUCCUCUCUGCUUUGCUUUGUCCCCCGUAUUCUCACUUGUCUUUCUUCUGACUGCUCUCCUCUUCUGCUCUUUGUUGUUCCCUGUGUCAUCUCUCAUCUUCUGCAUCUGCACCCUUCUGCUGUUCUUUUUCCCGUAUCUUCUCUCCUCCUUCUUCUUACCGCACUCCUCUUCUCUUCUGAUCUUUCUUCCUUGUGCCCUCACACCUCUUCUUCAUCUACACUCCUCUUCUGCUCUUUGUUCUUCUUCACCUGCUCUGUGGCACUGUUCUUUUUUUCACAGCACUGUCCGCUCUUCUCUACUGCUCUGUUCUUUCUCUGCUCUUCCUCUCUUCUCUCUUGCCUCUUUCCUCUCUUUCCACCUCCUGUACUUUUGCUCUACUUUUCAUACUUCUCCUCUUCAGCUCCUCUCCACUUCUGCUGUUCUGUUUUACCUGCACCCACUCAUUCCUUCUUCAGCUUUUCUCCCUGCCCGCAUGUUUUUCUUACCUUCAUCCUCAUUUUUUCUUCUCCUCCUCUUCUGCUCUUCUUUCUUACCUGUGCCUGUUCUUCUCUGCUUUUGCUCUUGUCCUUCUCAGCGUCUGCCUUACCUUUAUUCUCUCUUCUCCUCAAGACGGGGAGUUUUUGGAGUGGGUCCAGAGGAGGGCCACUAAGAUGGUCAGAGGGCUGGAGCACCUCUCGUAUGAGGAAAGGUGAAGGGAACUGGGAUCGUUUAGCUUGGAGAAGAGAAGGCUCCUUAAAGGGAGCAUCUAAGCAGGAGGGGGAAUGGCUCUUUCCGAGGGUGGGUUGUAAUAGGAGAUGCAGGAGUGGUCUUCAAGGGAGACAGGGGAGGUUUAGGUUGGAUCUGAGGAGGAAUUUUUUUCCCCGAGAGGCUGGUGAGGCACUGGAACAGGUUGCCCAAGGAGGUUGUGGAUGCCGCAUCCCUGGAGGCAUUCAAGGCCAGGCUGGAUGUGGCACGGGGCAUUUUGGUCUAGUGGCUGGCAAUACUGCACAUAGCGGGGAGGGGGGUGGGAGGUGAAACUUGAUGGUCACUGUGGUCCUUUUCAACGCACGCCAUUGUAUGAUUCAGUGAUUCUGUGAUUCUUUAUAGGACGCAAUCUUCCACUUGGAAAGGGCCUCCCAAGGAUCCCUGGUAUCCUCUGAGAGCUCUGAGCUGCCGCACCAAUUUGAAGCUGACUUCAUUUUUGGUCUUCCCCUUCAGCAGAAAAGCUCAGACAGCCGAGCCAAGCGAGACGCUGGAUUUCCUUUGGCAUCAAGGAAAGCAUCGUGAGAUGUUCUGAUGCCCUCUCACAAUUCUUUCUCCCUCCGCCAGCACCAGAGCUGGCGUCCAAAGACGCAAUGACACUGCCACAGGCAUUGUGGAGAUUUCUAUGGGAUAGGGCCAUGGUAAGGCUUUAUUGACAGAGGGAGGGACAAUGAAGAUUGGAUGUCAGGGAGAAGGUCUUUCCAGAGACGGUGGUGAGAUGCUGGAAGCGGAUGCCCAGAGAGCUUGUGGACGCCGCGUCCGUGGCAGUGUUGAAGGCCAGGUUGGAUUGGGCACUCGGCAGCCUAGUCUAGGAUUAGAUAUGAUGCAGAUGGGAUUCACGCAUCUGUUUUGCAGCCAGCUCGAGUGGAGGUCUUGGAGCUUGUGGGCGCCCCAUGCCCGCAUCAGCGUGGGUAGGGUGUGCCCUUCCUGCGCGGUGGGGCUUUGGUGUUUGGAGGCUGACGCUGAGGAGACUGUGUUUCUUCGGUUAUCGGUGGCAGAAAUCCAGCUCUGUCAGCAGAGGACUCCUGCGGCUGGCUGGCCUCAGCCUGAGAUGUUGAUGCUUCCAUCUCCUCAGGUUCUUUCUGCCUGCUCUUCUUAGCCCUGCGCCUGAGAAGUCUGACUGAGUCGCAUGCCAGAAGUGGAAGCCGGGAUGGAGUGCCUUGCGAUGCCUGCGACGGGCUGGACUGAGCCCUUGAGGAAGGUCUGGAAUCGUUGCUGAAAGAUUCGUUGGCUUUGGGCAACUUCAGCACUGCAGCCACACGAUGGGCUUUUUCCGCUUCCCGUUCUUCCUCACGGAAGCUCACGUGUUUGGUUCCUGGGGCUCGGCCCAGGUCUUCUUGGCUGUCUGUUUCUGCCUGGCCCUGCAGCUGGCAGGUCAGUGGCUGCUUUUGUUCUUCAGGCACUCCAGGGAUGGCUGGCAGCAGACUGAAAGGACAGAGCGGGAGGGGUCCGCCUGAGUGGGUGAUGGUUUUGGGGCUGCGUCCUGCAAGCCGGAGCCAGGACCCUUGGCUGCAACGCAGCCUUCCCCACAGACAGCUCAGCAGCUGCCCCGUGGCUCUCCCCCGUGGGAUCCAGAGAGGGGCCAGCCCUGUGAGCUGGGGGGCUCCUGGCGUCCCCAUCCCAGCACUGUUGGGCAGCCAGAAACAGGGACCCUUUGGGGCUAGGGAAUGGGCUCUCGUUGGCUCAGUCAAUCACCCCCAUGCACAUGCCAAGCCAGAGCCUCCAGCCUCACCUGGACGUAGAGCUCUCCUUGCGCAGUAAGCUCCUUAUCCUUCGGAGUUUUCCUCCAUCUAGACUGUCCGAGCUCAAGCGUUUGAUGUAGGUUGGCUUGCCAGCAAAUCUCACUGGGAUUGGGAAGGCAGAGGAGACUUACCGUCAACCCUUUGGCUCACUCACCAGGGGCGCUCAGGCCUGUUCCCAGAACAUGAGUGAGGGCCGCUCUGCUCCCCCCACUGCUGACAUCUGUGCCGCCCGCGGACCCUCCCUGAAAGCAUCUCUGGCCCCACUCCUCCUCUCUGCCAUCUUGGGACUCUCUUUUGGGAGUGCAUUAGUGACGGUGGCUUUGGGAAAGCGGAGCUGGGUGGUGACGAUGAGCUGACAGGGUGACUUUUGGGGACCAUAUCCUUUUGUUGGGGGAGGGCGGGGCCUAAGGUGCCGAGGUGCUCCUGCCAUAGCCAGGGAUGGGGGCACGUCACAGCCAGCGCCUUGGUUUUGGAGAGGCCAACAAUUCCUCGUGGGAAGAGGCUGUGCUGAGCUGGCAUGAAGCUUUGUCGCAAGUCAGAGCCCUUGGCUGAUGUUCAGCAAGGGAUUUCCCAUCUCAAGUUGGUGGCUUGUGCCCUGGAAAGGCGCUGGAUGCUGCUUUACCUUUCUUGCCCUGGGCGAGAGGUGGCAAAGCCUCCUCUUCCUUUGGUUUCCCCUCCGCAGGGAUGCCUCCUGAGGACCUGCGGGAUAUCCCAGGUGGUGGUUUGGGUACAAACUCCAUUUGAAACCUGUACGCGAGGAGACGACAGUGAGCGGUGGGACGCAGCGCUCCACCAAUCCUUGUUGCUCUCUCUGAUUGCUUGCUGACAGGCCCAUUUUCAUGCUGCAUGAUGGCCACUGCUUUCUAAAGGCUUCAGCAGGGCCAGGCUGAGAGCAACCUGAAGUGGCGGUAGGUGUCCCUGUUCCCUGCAGGGGAGUGGGACUAGGUGCCCUUUCCGGGUUCCUUCCAGCUCAAAUGAUGCAAUGAUUCUAUGCCAUAUCCUCGUGGGCAGGGCAGGGACACCCAUGGUCACAAGGAACAAAUGCUACGGCAUGAGAGCUGAGCAGCUGCAGCAAGCAGCAGCUACAGCCCCCAACAUACUCACUUGGGAAAGACGACGAGGCAGCCAGAGAGUGCCAGGGAGGCCACCGGUGCCGCUCGGGACACCACCAUGUCCAGCAGCCAGGGGGCCUGCAGGGGAGGAACAGGGAGGAUGUGGGACGUCCUUGUGACGGCUGAGGCACUGGGCACACAAGGAGCCCAAGGCAGGGAGGGCUGAUGGCACCGCAGCACUUGCACGGCGCGAGCAGCUGGCCAGGUGCUGGUGGUAGAAAGCUACAGCUCACCUUGAGAAGAGCUUUCCUGAACUUCUCUUUCCCUGACAGCUUCUCAAGGAAGUCGUAAUAGAAUUUCAUGUGGAAGGUCAGUCCAUCGAUGUGGAGCACUCCAAUGUCCUUGAAGACAACGGCAACGUUCUCCCCAUUCUUCAGGCAGCCAGAGAGCAGGGACACGGUGCUUUGGAUGCAAGCCUGCGCUGUCUGCCAGGUCACAGAGGCAGCUGCGGCCACCUCGCUGCUCUUGAGCGGCUCCAGCUUCCUAUGGGCUGAAAAAUGGGAGGGACGGAGUUGAUGAUACGGUUGGUUUUCCACAGUGCUUCCCUGGAACUGCUUCUUGUGGCCAUCAGCCAGAACGGCCCCAUGUUUGGCUGGGCUCCUCCGAGGGGGAGGUUUGCUUUGGAGAAUGGAGGCGGUGGCCCUGUUGGCCCUGUGCGUGAAGCCAGCAAAGCUUUAAU
ensembl:lncRNA